UGGGGCUCAAACUCACAAACCGUGAGAUCAUGACCCGAGCAGAAACCAAAAGUCGGACACUUAACCCACUGAGCCACCAGGCGCCCCCCUUGACAACACUUCUUGUACAUGGAAAACUGGGAGGGCAAGAGCAAGGACUGACUGGAACCACCUUGACUCAACGAUGACCUUCAAAGCCUAGUGGUCGCUGCUCACCUUUGCCUCCCGCAUCGCUUGUGCCUUCCCUUUUGACUGACGCUCUAGCCUGGAAACAUUCAAGAAGAGAUUCUGAGAAGUGCAGUGCUUGGCUUUACCAAGUAGAUGGAAAUUGCCCCAUAGAAAUGUCAUAAUGCAAGUCACGCACCUGUUACAGACAAAACUGUAAUGAACCACCUUGGACAGACCUUUCCCGACAUGAAAGUUAAAGUCCUAGAAGAGGAAUUGUUAGAUCCUUUGUGCAUUUGUAAUUUUGAUACAUAUUGCCAAACUACCCUCCAUAGAGUUCUUACUAACUUACAGAUUGACAUGAACAAGGAUGCAUUUUCCCACACCCUUACCAAUGCAGUGUGUUGGCAAGUGUUUUGAUAUUUGCCAAUUUGGGGAGAAAUGAGCAUCUCCUUAUAGUUUUAACAUGGACUUCUUUUGUGAGAAAUUAUGUUUCGGAGCUGUUUCCUUUUCUGUGAGUCAAUUGCUUUUAAAAAUCUUUUCAACUGAGAACAAAC